AGGCUCCUAAGCAUGGCUUACUAUCUAGCCAAGAGCUCAGCUUCAUUGAGUAUAUGCAGAAUAUAAUUUAUAACUACAUUAUACGUGGUAAAUAAUCAACUUUUUGCAAGUGAUGAUUGAAAACUUGACCAUGAAAAUGAGAAAGGUCAAGGAAGAUAUCAUCGUUGUACGGCGUUGCUGGUUAUGUCAGAUGAGACUGGACGGGAUGGAACGGUGGAGCCAAUCGUGUAGCAACAGGAGAGAUCCAAAUGGUGAAACCAGUGUGUGGUACUUUUCCCUCUGUCUCAAAAGUGGACGUGGACAAAGCUUUAAGGAGCCAAAAGUCCUUAAUGGCAUGGACCUGCUUAGCAUCAAAAGAAUGCUUUUUCUAUAGGAACUGUAAUAUGUUUUAUGGUUGCAAAGAUGAGAUGGAUAUAUGAAAUGUUCUGAGAAUCACAAAAUGGAGACCUUGGUGGCUAAAAGGGCCUCGAACAAGUAUGCUUUCCUUCAAUAAUUGCAAGCAUUUGUUUCCACUGACCUUUAGUGGUCUUGUAUUUGUUACUAUGAUUGCAAUGAAGUUUCACUUUCUACCGGAAGGACACACCACGAGAAAGAGAUGAAAAAUUAAAGUACUGGAAUCAUGAAUGAGUAGAAAAGGAGCAAAGCAUUAGGGUGAGGAGCUCCGCAAACAGAUUGGAGCUACCUAUUAUAUUGAAUACAGCUCAAAAACUCAGCAGUUUAUAGGUUAAUGCAGUUUCCUUCCUCCUUUUUCCUCCUCAAAAGUACAUGGAAGUGGUACUAAAUGCAAUGGUGAAAUGAAAUAUACUUGAUCCACGUUGGCUAAACUAAGCUUAAUAUUGCAAGAGAAACCUUCUAAGUGAAACUUGGGCUCCUAAAAUAGCAAACUAGAAAAGAAAAUGAGAACAUGAGCAACAUAAGCAUUUAUCAUUUUUCAAGAGAAGGUGGAAAAGGAGGUCAGACUGUGAACAAAGUUGAAACUGCACUUCGAAUUACACACAACAAACUGGUGUCACUAUUCACUGAACAGAUUAACACUAUAGGUUUUACUGCGACAAAUUCACACCAAACUCGUGCAAAUGAGAAUUGAAGUGCAUGUUUAAAAGGCAUGAUGUUAAAGAUUCCCAUGGCAAUGAGUUUGAUGAUUGGUGUUGGCCUGGUCAUCCUCCUAACUUGACACUUUGAACCCAGAGAUUAGGUCCUGGUGGUAUGACAAGUUUUAUUUUCAGAGUUAUGUUGGUUCCACUCCUCUUUACAUAUGGAAUGUGCCUUUCGUCUUCCAUGGUCCUGAGGUGGUGGCUCCGCGGAGAUGGUUCAAGGGACGGCAGCGACUAAACCUCGCGGUGCUCUGGUGCGGAGGCGAGAGGUUUGCCCUGUUGGGUUUUUUGUUUUAUGAAGUUGGUUUGUUGUUUGUUUUUCUAGGUAUGAUGUUUUUAAACUUCUGUUGAGAGCUCAAUUUGUUGUCAUUCAGUUAUUCUUGUGUGUAGAUUAAAAUUGAUUUUAGGCUUUAAUUAAUUUGUGGGAUUUUCAUUGUAGAAUGUGAUUGCUGCUCCUAUUUACUAUCACCUAUGACUUUUAAGUUGGUAAAUUGAAAAGAGAAGAAGGGAUUUGAACUUCAAUCCUCAAUCCUCAGAAUGAAACUUUUGUUUUACUUUGAAAUAUUUAACUGUUGGAGAUUUUCUUAUGCAGUGGAAGAAUCAUGGUUCAUACUCGGUAAAUUGAGUGAUAAACUGAUAGUGUCGAUCCAAGAUCUACAGUAGCUAUUUUUGGGCUGGGAUUUAUUGGGUUAGCCACAUGGACUCUUUGAACAUGGCUUUGUUUUCAAUAAAAGAUAAGAUGUAUUUUAUUUUUUUCCUGAAUAAAAUCCAGUCUCAUUUCUUCUUCUCUUAUUCAGGGUUUGGUUUUUUUUAAUACAUUAAAAAAUUUCGUAUCAAUUUUUGAGAUAAUACCUUAUCAACUUCAGAAAUUAUGUUAUCUUGAGUUGUUGAGAUUGAUGCUUGACGGAAAAUACAUUGUUUCUUGAGUGAAAUGAUUGGUGCCUUGUCUUUUUCUGUAGAAGUUAGUCUUCAAGGAGUAAUAGUAAUAUUUGGUUUAGAAGAUUUAAAUGAGAUAGAAAGAUGAUAUAUAGCUCAAGCUCUGUAAUGUGCUUAGUUACAUAUUGUUUGAGAAUCUGAUAUUAUUGGUAUACAUUUUUUAUGCUAUAACUACUCAUUUUCCAGUUUGUAGUAUUUUAUAUCCUUUUCUAUCCCUAUUUUUGGUGUUUUCUUUCUUUCUUUCUGUAAGUGCUAUUUGGCAAGGUCUUUUUGCUUACUUUCAUAUCACCAUACCAUAUUGUCUUUCUUUGUUCAUCGGCUCUUUCUGAUAACUGCUUUUUGGUGAGAUUAAGUCGCUGCUACUUCUAUAAGAUCCCAAGAAUUUAAAUCCUCAAUCCUAAAUGAAUUUGUUUCAUGACCAAGAUAUCAACAAGUUUUUCUGCAUCACAAAAGCAUGUCAAAUCUCUUUAAUCCUUAAUUAAGUACAUUUAUUUCUCAUGAUGAUUCUAAAGUUUUCUAAGCUUGAGUUGUCAGUUUUUGUUUUAUGACAUCAUGGCACUUCUCAAGUUCAACAAGGUCACUGAUUUUGCCGCUAUCUAUCUUCGCUUGCUAGAACUAUUCAGGGCAUGCAUCUCUAACCUUUAAAUGAACAUAGAAUACUUUAAGGUACUUCAUAUUUCCACUUUGUGUCUUAACUAUUGAGAUGCUCGAAAUGUGUAGGUGAGGAGGACAUAUUUUUGGAUGCUCUUUACUGUCACAAAGCUCAUAAAGGAAUUCAUAAAAAAGACUCUUGCAUGAGACAGAUGUACUCAUAUUUCAGGUGGGAUUUGUGCUCACUUUCAAUGUACUAAACACGAGAAUGGUAUUUUCUUUUUUGUGUCAAGCUUCAGUGUUUUGUAAAUCAUGUGUGGUAUUGCCUUUCCUGAUCUCUGGUUUUAAAUCUCUUGAUUGCCUUAUGAAAUGGAUCUCCUACCAAUAAUAGUGCUGGCAAUAAAAUUCCUUUUCCUCAACUUAUGAUUUAAAAUUUACCCAAUUGGAUAGUUAAACUAAGAGAUAUGUUAAUAAGUUCAUUUUGGAGUUAUCUACUCUAGCGUUGGAACGAUUGAACAAUGUAUUCCCGAUUUGAAACUUAAGUAAGAUCCAAUGUAUUCCCCCCAUUAAUAGUGAGGGUUUAGUAGAUAAUUCUGUUACAUAUCAUAAGUUUAGGUAUGAUAUCUGAGCUACCAGAAAAAAAUAGGAACUAAAUGUGGAAUAUUGGAGUGCAAUAGUAUAUCUGCAUUCUGUUAAGUAAGUAGUAAAGGGGAUUGUCUUCCUCAUCAUUCAGUUUUUCACUUAAUCUCCAAUUAUGGUGUUGUAUUUGCUAGCUUUGGUGUUAUACUUAGGUGUAUAGCUAAUCUCUUGGUUUAUUUAUUUAUUUAUGAAACUCUUGUGUCAAGGUGGAGAAUUUGCUAUUCUUGCUAAUCUCAAAUAAUUAUUGUGACAAUAAUGAGAGAUGGUUUUGUUUGCUCUCCAAUUUUUGAAAAAAAAAAGUAAUUUUGAUCUUACUUUGAUAGAAAUAUUUUCCAGUAUCUUUUUUUUUUGACAAUGAUGGAACUUCACCAUGCCCUGCACUUGAACAACCCCUUUUCACUCUGUUGUUUUCUCCAUCAUGGCUUCAAAAUCCAGUUUAGUUAGUCAAGCUUGGUGCUUUGUGUUUGUGUAUGUCUCUAUUAAUUUAAGAUUUGAUUCGGGUUUCUUCUUAUUCCUUCUUCUUAAGGCAUUGUGUUAUUUCUUCUGUUGUCUUUUGCUUAGGCUCAAUAUAACAUGAAACUUGUAAGCUAUUGGUGGAAUUCCGUUAGUGGCCUCUGCAGUGAUGGAGAACAUAGAGUGUUGUUUUGGAGUGAUAACAGAACUGCAGCUUGCAGCUGAUCCUGGUGAGUACCAAAACCAACUCAUGUUAAUCACUCGAGGAAGAAAGGAAUUUAACACAGAAGUCAAAUUUUACUUGGUCCAAACCACUUUGUUUGCGAGUCUUUCUAGCUGUUAAAACAUAAAAAAAAAAUAUCAAGGUUAGUUCGAUAUGGUUUCUACUUAAAAGUUUCAAAAAUUUCUCACUUACCUUCACUUAGUAACCCCUGGUGGAUCCAGCUUGAAAUUGUCAUAAACAAAAGAGAAGUGCAAACAAAGCCAUGUAAACCACAUAUGGCAUGAUGAUCAAGCCCCAUUUUGAAAGUAUGAGUGAAACUUGAACCAUGUAUGAGAAGGGGAUGCAGUAAGAGAGAACUCAAGCAAAAGAAUAUAAAUUUUGAUUCAAUUAUUGGGAAAGAAAAGACAGGGAGAGUGUGUGCCAGAAAGGUGGAGGAAGAAACUAGAUAUAAGAUAAAGAAGAAGAGUUUACAGGAAUCAGUAGGUAAUGAACAAAGUUAAGGUUUUGUCUUUAAAUGACUAACUUUAUGGUUUGUUAUAGAUGUCUUUGAUAGUUUACCUGCUUCUUUUUGCAAUUUAUAGCAAAUUAGGGAGGUUUUUCAAUCCUCUGAUAGAACCUCUACAAUAUUGUACGAUUUUCAGCAAUAUAUUUUUCAUCAUGAAUAAAUUUGUUUUUCCCUGCUAUCUUGGAAAUGCAUGUUCAUCUUCAUUCAAAAGAUAAAACUGAAGAAAAAGAAAGAAAACUUUGUCUGUCUGAGAUAAGUUUAAGGCAUAUUUGAAUUAUACAAUGACAUGUCAUGGAACUUGAAUGUUUCGGUCUUCUCUUUAUUUGGAAUUUUGUUUUCUUCCUCUUUAGUCUUUUAUAUGAAACAACAGUAACCAUGCUUAUUUCAUUAACAUGUUUGUGCCUCGCUUUUGAUUAAAUAUUGUCUUAACCUACUUACAAAAAGGUGUGUGAAAUCAAAUUGAUUUUUUUUACAAAGAAUUGGAAUAUAAUAUACUGACAAGCAAAGAGGAGUAACUUAUAAGAGAAUUCGAAGAACUUUUAAUUUUCUAGCAGUAUAUCCAUUAUCUGGUAAUAUGAUUGAUUUUGCUUAUAUGAAGAUUUGGUAGCAUCAGUUGCAAUAAGUAGGAGAACUGAAACCGGUUGAUUUGCAUGUAUUACUAUUAAAUUGAUGUAGGAGAAUUUAGGGUGAAGGAGUAGGUGUUGCAGAAGGAGCUUAUCAGAGAAGAGUGGAGAAAAACUUUUCUGCAAGAAUAGCAUUUGCUGCAUCCUAAUGAUGGAAGGAAUCCCAAAAUAUGUUGGUCUUUGGAAAUUUGAUAAAAAGGAAAAGCUAUACUUGAGAAGAUGAUAGGUUGUAUUAAUGAUUUGUUCCUUUGAUCAUGAUUGUGCAUCGACUAUACUUCUUUUAGACUUUCCAAAUUUUGUAGUUGCUAGCAACUUAUUUCAAAUACUUUAGUCAAACUUUGAUUAUAAAUAAAAGCAUGUUUGGCUA